rnacentral:SRP_RNA from 1 species
GCCGGGCAUGGUGGCGCAUGCCUGUAAUCCCAGCUACUCGGGAGGCUGAGGCAGGAGAAUUGCUUGAACCCAGGAGACAGAGGUUGCAGUGAGCUGAGAUCACGCCACUGCACUCUAGCCUGGGCAACAAGAGUAAAACUCCGUCUCAA